ACGUAGGACACGAGCGUUAUCCGGAUUUACUGGGCGUAAAGCGCCUGUAGGCGGUCUUGUAAGUCGGAUGUGAAAGCCCCAGGCUUAACCUGGGGAGGCCAUUCGAUACUGCGGGGCUUGAGGAUGGAAGAGGGGAGUGGAAUUCCCGGUGUAGGAGUGAAAACCGCUGCUCCUUGGGGGACCACCUGUGGCGAAGGCGUCUCACCAGGACGGCUCCGACGGUGAGGAGCGAAAGCUGGGGGAGCAAUCUG
rnacentral:rRNA from 1 species